UGAUCGGCCACAUUGGGACUGAGACACGGCCCAAACUCCUACGGGAGGCAGCAGUAGGGAAUCUUCCGCAAUGGACGAAAGUCUGACGGAGCAACGCCGCGUGAGUGAAGAAGGUUUUCGGAUCGUAAAACUCUGUUGUCAGAGAAGAACAAGUUGGAGAGUAACUGCUCCAGCCUUGACGGUAUCUGACCAGAAAGCCACGGCUAACUACGUGCCAGCAGCCGCGGUAAUACGUAGGUGGCAAGCGUUGUCCGGAUUUAUUGGGCGUAAAGCGAGCGCAGGCGGUUCCUUAAGUCUGAUGUGAAAGCCCACGGCUCAACCGUGGAAGGUCAUUGGAAACUGGGGAACUUGAGUGCAGAAGAGGAGAGUGGAAUUCCAUGUGUAGCGGUGAAAUGCGUAGAUAUAUGGAGGAACACCAGUGGCGAAAGCGACUCUCUGGUCUGUAACUGACGCUGACGCUCGAAAGCGUGGGGAGCAAACAGGAUUAGAUACCCUGUAGUCCACGCCGUAAACGAUGAGUGCUAGUGUUGGAGGGUUUCCACCCUUCAGUGCUGCAGCUAACGCAUUAAGCACUCCGCCUGGGGAGUACGGCCGCAAGGCUGAACUCAAGGAAUGACGGGGACCCGCACAAGCGGUGGAGCAUGUGGUUUAAUUCGAAGCACGCGAAGAACCUUACCAGGUC
rnacentral:rRNA from 1 species